rnacentral:rRNA from 1 species
AUUGAACGCUGGCGGCAGGCCUAACACAUUCAAGUCGAGCGAGCGGCGGACGGGUGAGUAAUGUCUGGGAAACUGCCUGAUGGAGGGGGAUAAAUACUGGAAACGGUAGCUAAUACCGCAUACCAUCAGAAGUGCCCAGAUGGGAUUAGCUAGUGGGUGGGGUAACGGCUCACAUGGGCGACGAGCCCUAACUGGUCGGAGAGGAUGACCAGCCACACUGGAACUGAGACACGGUCCAGAUUCCUACGGGAGGCAGCAGUGGGGAUUAUUGCACAAUGGGCGCAAGCCUGAUGCAGCCAUGCCGCGUGUGGGAAGAAGGCCUUCGGGUUGUAAAGCACUUUCAGCGGGGAGGCGUUACCAACAGAAUAAGCACCGGCUAACUUCGUGCCAGCAGCCGCGGUAAUAC